rnacentral:rRNA from 1 species
CAAGUCGAACGCGAAAGCUCCCUUCGGGGAGCAAGUAGAGUGGCGCACGGGUGAGUAACACGUAGGUAAUCUACCUUUGGAUGGGGAAUAACAACCGGAAACGGUUGCUAAUACCGCAUAAUGCAGCGGCACCUAAUGGUGACAGUUGUUAAAGCGGGGGAUCGCAAGACCUCGCGUCUGAAGAGGAGCCUGCGGCAGAUUAGCUAGUUGGUAGGGUAACGGCUUACCAAGGCGAUGAUCUGUAGCCGGCCUGAGAGGGCGGUCGGCCACACUGACACUGACAUACGGGUCAGACUCCUACGGGAGGCAGCAGUCGGGAAUUUUGGGCAAUGGGCGAAAGCCUGACCCAGCAACGCCGCGUGAAGGAUGAAAUCCCUCGGGAUGUAAACUUCGCAAGAACGGGAAGAAUAAGUAAGGGUUAAUAUCUCUUACGAUGACGGUACUGUUUGUAAGCUCCGGCUAACUCCGUGCCAGCAGCCGCGGUAAUACGGGGGGAGCAAGCGUUGUUCGGAUUUACUGGGCGUAAAGGGCGCGUAGGCGGCCUCUGCAAGUCGACUGUGAAAUCUCCGGGCUUAACCCGGAACGGUCAGCCGAUACUGCAGGGCUAGAGUGCAGAAGGGGCAACUGGAAUUCUCGGUGUAGCGGUGAAAUGCGUANAUAUCGAGAGGAACACCUGCGGCGAAGGCGGGUUGCUGGGCUGACACUGACGCUGAUGCGCGAAAGCUAGGGGAGCGAACGGGAUUAGAUACCCCGGUAGUCCUAGCCUUAAACGAUGAAUGCUUGGUGUCUGGGGUUUUAUAGUCCCCGGGUGCCGUCGCUAACGCUUUAAGCAUUCCGCCUGGGGAGUACGGUCGCAAGACUGAAACUCAAAGGAAUUGACGGGGA